CUUGCCUCAGCCUUACCCUUCUUGCUGCUGCUUCUGUUGGGUUUCAGAGGGCUUGCAGACUUCUGCAAUGACUUCAUCUAUAUUACUUUAUAGUAAUUUAUCUUAGUCCAGGUGCAGUGCCUCACACCUGUAAUCCCAGCACUUUGGAAGGCUGAGCUGGGAGGAUUGCUUGAGGCUGGCAGUUCAAGACUUCUUCCAUUUUAAGGGGCCUUGUGAUUACAGCUGGUCCAUCUGGAUAUUCUAAGAUAUUCUCCCUAUUUUAAGGAAGAUGAAUAAGAAGAGGGAGCCUCUUCCAGGAAGAUAAAUGCCGAAAAAGCUACCUUUUCUCCAUCUGGGGACGGAUGAUACCAAAAUGAUGCCCCCUUCCAGGCUGAUAAGGAGAGAAAUCUGAAAUCUGAGGUGCAGUUGAUUUGAAUCCAGGAAAUCUAAGGAAAAAGUUCAAGCUCUUAAUCAUUUCAUACCCUUCUUGUUGCUAACUUAAACUUUUUUUUUAAAAAAGUUAAUCUUGUCUAUGAAGCAUGAAUCUAUAAUACUAGGGAAAAAACUGGCUAACUUGAAGAAAAAAUAAAUUGAAAUGAAAAGCAAUUAAUUCCUCUUAAUAUGAAUAAAGGAUGAUCUAAAUGCUUUUUGAGAAAUGAUUUCAAGUAAUGAAAUUUACAGGAAAAAAAAUCCUCUUUUCUGAAUAAGCAAUCAUGGUAUUAAUCCUAAGUUCUUUAAUCUUUAUAUUUACAUUUGUUCUUAAAGCUUGGUGUUUUCUACCAAAACCAUCUGUGUAUCUCUGUCUAUCUUCACGUGUUCUUUCUGUAUACAUUCAUGCAUGCGCACACACACAGAGAUUUCAUUAUUUAUUCAUAAAAUAGUUGAAAAUCACUGCUUUGGCCCUUUUAACUGUAUAUAAAUCUCUCAGUUCUCUAGUGCUUGGAAAGGAAGUAUUUAUUUUAUUUUAUUUUUAUUUUAUUUAUUUUGAGAUAGAGUCUCACUCUGUCGCCCAGGCUGGAGUGCAGUGGUGCAAUCCUGGCUCACUGCAGCCUUAAUCUCCAAGGCUCAAGCUGUCCUCCCACCUCAGCUUCCCUCGUAGCUGGGACCACAGGCAUGCCACCACACCCAGCUAAUUUUUGUGUUUUUUUGGAGAGAUGGGGUUUCCUCAUGUUGCCCACGGUGGUCUGGAACUCCUGGGUUCAAGUGACUGGCCCUACCUUGGCCUCCCAAAGUUCUAUGAUUAGAGGCGUGAGUCACCCUCCCUCGCCAGGAAGUAUGACAAACAGAAUGAGCCUGCAACCAGAGUCUUUGAUUCAAACCCUUGCCCACCAUUCACUGACUGUUUGAGCCUCAGUAUCUUUAUGUGGAACAUGAGGUCUAUAACAGAACUUAACAAACAGGAGAUAAUUAUUAAUGAGAUUAAAUGCAAUGAGGAAUGUCAGUGGUACCCUCUCUGUAGAGGAACUUAAGGAGUUGAGCCUCCAAGCUUCUUUCUUGAUAUGCUGAUGAAAGACAUAGCCUAGUUUAUGGUGGGUGCUGCUUAAAUUCCAGCCCUCUCUCUUUCAGUCAACAGGCUUGGACUCAAAAUAAGCCCCAUUCAGGCUGAUUUGCCUGCCUAUAUCAGUCACAAACUGCACCUCUUGCAAAAACAGCUUUCCCUCCAAUGUGUACUGGCCUUGAAGAAGACUGAGAUAUAGGGAAACAAAGAUCUUUAAAAUCAAGUUACUGAAAGGUCACUGAAAUAAUAUACAGUGAAAGAUGGAUGAUGCCAUCAUUGUAUAAAUAAAGUCAGUACAACCAUUAAAGAACUUACAAGUAUGGGUUUUUUCUUCUCUAUGGUUAUGAUCAUGGAUAGAAUAAUUUUGAUAUGACCAUGAUUAUAUUAUAUCUGGAUGGUUUAGAUGUCUUUCAGAAAAUUAAUAUUUAUUCUUUGGCAUUAUAUAAUUUCUUAAAUAAACAUGAAGAGAGAAAUGUUUUGAAUAACAAUUCUCUAGUCCUAAAUUUUCUAUACUUAGCAUGUAUUGUUUCUUUUUUAAUAACUUACAACAACUUUAUUUUAAAAUUAGUUUAGGCAAUGUUUUUUGAAAUGGCUUCUUUGAAGUCGCUUCUUGGAAUGAUUAUAGCCAUUGUGUAAAGCCAGCAAUAAAAGAAGGAUUUGAAAGUAGAGAGUAGAACAGUAGUUACCAAGGGCUGGAGGCAGGGGUAGAGGAGAUAUUGAUCAAAGGACACAAAAUUUCAUUUAGGAGGAAUAAGUUAAAGAGACGCACUGUCACAUGGUGACUACAGUUAAUAACAAUGUGUUGUGUUAUUGAAAAUCCAUGAGGGUAGAUUUUAAGUGUUCUGACCACAAAAAAAAGCAUGUGAGGUAACACAUACAUUAAUUAGCUCUAUGUAGCCAUUCUAUAAUGUAUACAUGUUUCAAAACAACAUGUACACAAUAAAUAUAUAUGAUUUUUUAUUUGCUAGUUAAGAAAAGCGUUUGACACUUCAAAAAAUAAAAUACUUUUGGCAUAUGAAGAGUCAUUUACAAUCACGCCCCAGACUUUGUUGUUAAUAUUAGCAGGGAUAGUCAUUGCUUAUAAGGUCUUCACAUGCUUAUAAAAGAAGUUUCACUAAAUCUAGUUAGCAUUGAGAAGUGUUGACAAGAAGAGUUGAAAAUAAACCUCAAGACAACUUUCUGAUUUAAAAUUCUAUUUCUUGGUGUGUGAAUGUUAUUUUUGAGGAAACAUACACUUUAUUGCAACAUAAUAAAUAAAUGAGAAAAUAAGACAAUGUUAUUUUACCCAAUAUAGCAGGGUGGUCUUUAAAUAAGUGCAUAAAUAGCCCAUGAGAUAGUUUGAAGCUUUCAGCUUUGUCACCCUGUUGGUCUAGUCAAAUGACUCACAUAUUAGCAAUUUGUUUGCAAAACAUCUUCUUCUUAUAGUUUCCAUUGGAUUACAUAAGAUUGUUUUAUCCUGAUAGAUAAUCUGGACUUUCUUCACCAAAAGAAGGUUAAUAUUCCUACAAAUUUUAAACCAAAACAUUAAAUUUUAUACUGAAAAUACAUCUUCCUUGAGGUCAAGACUGUAGGGGAAGGCAGAUUUUUGGUGUCCUUAUCCAAAUGAUAGCCUUGCAAACCAGGCUGUUUUCAUGAGAGGAUUUUCUUACUUUAUUUAAAUCUUCUCUGAGCGUAACAGGAAAUAAAUCUGGAGACUCCAGCUUCUGGAGCUUUUCCACAAAGAAGAUAAUCUUUCUGAUUUAAAGACACAAUAAACCCUUCUUUCUCCAUGUUCUUCAAAAUCCAUAGAGCUCAAAUAACCACUUCUUUUCAUUCGCUAUAGAACAGCAUUAUUUCCAAAAUUGCAUUUAAAUCAUCUACAUACAGAAGGUUAAAUUUGUUUAAAAAUGAAUAAUUACAUUCAUUUCUUUACAUUUGUACUCUGAAUAAUGUGGAAUUUAAACUAGGUGUGGUUACACUUUAGCUAUGAGACAUUGGGCCGGUCACUUAUUCUCUUCAGAGGAUUAAAAGGAUAAAAUAUUUUAAAAAAUAUCUAUCUAUCUAUCUAUCUAUCUAUCUAUCUAUCUAUCUAUAGAUAGAUACACACACACACACACACACACACACAUAGAGUUCUUAUACAAACCCUCAUUAAAUGUAAUCCAAGUUGUAGACCCACAGUACUGAUUUAGGUAGGCAAAAUAUCAAAUUAACAACAACAAAAAAAUACCAGACAUAAAAAAUGUGUCUCAUAUUCUGGACACAUCAUUAUUCUCUGAAAUAUCCACAGACCACUCUAAUCUGAGCACACCCUAGGUGGACCAGGAACACAAGUAAUGUGAAUGACUGCAAUAAUAAAAUGAGUAUGUUAAACUAUCAAUUACUUGGCUUUGAUUCUGUGCUUGAAUUAUAUUCAAUGAGCCUCUGCUGUGUGCCAGACAAUGUUCUGGGCAGCAGCGACACACUGGUGAACAGUCCUUGCCUAUAUGGAGCUUACAUUUUAGAAGGCAAAGACAGACCAAUAAAUAAGUCAGCAAACAAUUCGUCAAUAUAACUUCAAAUAAUAACAAAUACUUUGAAGAAAAUCAACUAGGGUCGUGCCUGAGGGCUUGGGAAUUAAAUGUACUUUAGUUUGGAAACCAGAGAAGUCAUGGCUGAGGGAUUUAUAUCUUCACUGACAACUGAAGACCCAGAAGAAACCAGCAAGGCAAAGGCUGGGAAUCAAUGUCUCCAGCUGUGUCCUUGAGGAAGCAGGAAAUGCAAACGGCUCUAAAGGAAGAAGGAGCUUACUUAUUUGCCAAACAGAAAGAAAGUUGAUGAGAGCAAUGAAACCGCAAAUUAAUUAAGAUCAAGAAAACACUAACACCAAAACUCAAAGGAUGUUGGAAGCUUGAAAGAAGACCUCAAAGACAAUAUUUGGGCAUAUUUUAAGAGCAUCAUCAAUACUCUGUAUGGCACCGAGGAUGACUUAUGGAAAAACAGAGUUAUCAAUGACUUUUUGUUGGAAAUUAUCCAAAAGAGUAAGAUUCUGCAAAGAAGUUUGUGAAUUUAUUUACCAGUUUAUUUUUAUUUCUAUUUUCAUUUUACGAUUGCCUGAGAGUGAUAUUUGAAAAGUGUUAUAUUCAUAUAUGUCUAAAUUUUUCAACAAGUAUCAAAUAAAGAUUCUAAGUUAUAAGAAAGCAUUGUGUCAGUUUAAUUGUAUGAUUUCUUAAAAUUAGCUCCACAUGAAUGAACGGUACAUCUAAAAUUGAUAAUUUGAUAAUUGUCUCAGAUUUGAGGAAAUACUAUCCUCCAUUAUAGACAAAGGCUAGAAGGACCUGGGAAUGGGGAGGGGGACUAUGUAACAGACAAAUAUUCCAAUCUCAGAUGAUUAUUCUUCCACUCUCCUUUUUUCUCUGAGUCUAAGCUCAUCUUUUACUGUCCCUCUGGACUUUAACAGGCACUCUGCUAUUAAUGCUUAAAUGGAGCAUCUACUUAAUUAGAUUACAGCAUUUACAGGACAUAAACCUUUGGGUACAUGUCAAAGACCCUGGACUUUAGGCCACAACCAAUGUAAGUGGAUGAUUUCCCAAUGAUAGCAUAUGCCUAGAAAGGUUUGGCUUUAUUUUCCGUGAGUUCUUAUCUAAUGCAAAAUAAACUUUGAAUUUAUAUUUCUUGAGUUUUCCAGCACACAAUGUUUUGCUUUUAUAACUUCUAUUAUUAAAAGAAGAAUAUUAUACUAUUUGUAAAUGUUUUUGAUGUGCAAAAUUUUAUACCUAUAGGUUGCAAAAUCUGUGCAUUGCACUAGAAAUUUUGCUGAGUUUUCAGCUCUUAGCCACAGCAUUUAAGUAGUACAAUUCAUUUCAUGUUUAACUUUAUUUAAAUAUCAUAGUGAGUAGACCAUUGGUUUUCAGAUUAUUUUAAAUUUCUUUGUAUAAUCUGAGUUGAUUUCCCAUUGUGUCUGCCAAAGUACUCUUCUUUCUUCUUGAGGACAGUGCACAUUUAGAAAUUACCUUUUUGAAACAUCUUGAAAACUGACUCUUCAAAAAUGACUUUCAAUACUUAAGAACAUGACAAAAAUAUAUUUAUAACAUAACUUUUAGUUACAUGUUAUGCCGUAUAUAAAACUAUGUACUUGUGAAUGUUCAAUACCUAUCCCCCUCCCCCCAAAACAGCAACUUGUUUUGUUGCAUUUGCUGAUUUAUAUAGUAUAAAUACUCCCACAUGUCCAGUUUCAAAGUACCAACUUGAUGUCACUGGACAUACAGUUAGGAAGGGUAUCAUUAUAAAGUAUUUUUACAGUAAAGAAGCAAUAAAUGUAAGCAACUACAAAAGCACACAUAAUAGUGAAAUGCAUUAAAAUAAUUGGGAAAUACUAAGUUUUGAGUAUUACUUCGUUUGCUUAUUUUGUAAUUUAUUUAAUUGUAAGUUUAUAUAAUCCAAUUUUUGGCAAUGGCUGUAUUUAACAACUGGUUUCCAAAUUUACAAAUGUACUCUUUUAAGCCUACAUGAACUGGGUGUAGUUCAGCACUCCUGUAUAUAUGAUAUUUGAUAUUGCCUAUUAUAACACAGGUUAAAAAUAGUGAAGCUUAAACUCAUUUGAGACUUCCUCCCUCCCUCUUUUCCUUCCUUCCUUCCUUUCCUUUCCCUCCUUCCUUCCUUCCUUCCCUCCAUCCUUAAGUUCUUACAGAUUUGCUAGACAUGUCAAAAUGAGUAGAAAUCAGUAUGAACAAAUUAAAUUAUAAAGUUACCUAUUUAUGCUAUUGAUAUGGGGACAGACAGAAAUAAGAAGGUUAUACUUUUCCAGGAUUCUAUAAUAUAUAUUUUCUUUAUAUGUCAGGAUAUAUGUACGUAUCCAGUUAUAUAUCUUGAUACAGUUAUUUUUGUUUCUAUGAAACCAUGUUGAAUGCUAUGAAAAGCCUUGAUAAUGGUAAGUUACUAAAAAAGGCUCUCUAGGUAUGAGCAAGAAGGCGAAAGACUGAGAUAAAAAAUACCAGCUGUUAGUUUCUGUAUUCUGAUUGCUUUGCUAGUAUCUUUAUAUUCUUGGACCACUUUAAAGAAAUAAAACCCAACAUUUUAAAUAAUGAAUUUCUGAGG
rnacentral:lncRNA from 1 species